rnacentral:rRNA from 1 species
UACGUAGGGCGCAAGCGUUGUCCGGAAUUAUUGGGCGUAAAGAGCUCGUAGGCGGCUUGUCGCGUCGGAUGUGAAAGCCCGGGGCUUAACCCCGGGUCUGCAUUCGAUACGGGCAGGCUAGAGUGUGGUAGGGGAGAUCGGAAUUCCUGGUGUAGCGGUGAAAUGCGCAGAUAUCAGGAGGAACACCGGUGGCGAAGGCGGAUCUCUGGGCCAUUACUGACGCUGAGGAGCGAAAGCGUGGGGAGCGAACAGG